UACGUAGGGGGCGAGCGUUAUCCGGAUUUAUUGGGCGUAAAGGGUACGUAGGCGGCCAAAUAAGUCAGGUGUUAAAGGCAACGGCUCAACCGUUGAAUGCAUCUGAAACUGUUUGGCUUGAGUACGGGAGAGGAAAGUGGAAUUCCUAGUGUAGCGGUGAAAUGCGUAGAUAUUAGGAGGAACACCAGUGGCGAAGGCGACUUUCUGGACCGAUACUGACGCUGAGAUACGAAAGUGUGGGGAGCAAACAGG
rnacentral:rRNA from 1 species